AUACAGAGGGUGCGAGCGUUAAUCGGAAUUACGGGGCGUAAAGCGCGCGUAGGCGGCUUGGUCAGUCGGAUGUGAAAGCCCCGGGCUCAACCUGGGAAUGGCAUUCGAUACUGCCAGGCUAGAGUAUGGGAGAGGGAAGUGGAAUUUCCGGUGUAGCGGUGAAAUGCGUAGAUAUCGGAAGGAACACCAGUGGCGAAGGCGACUUCCUGGCCCAAUACUGACGCUGAGGUGCGAAAGCGUGGGGAGCGAACAGGAUUAGAUACCCUAGUAGUCC
rnacentral:rRNA from 1 species